rnacentral:rRNA from 1 species
UACGUAGGGGGCUAGCGUUGUCCGGAAUCAUUGGGCGUAAAGCGCGUGUAGGCGGUUCGGUAAGUCCGCUGUGAAAGUCGGGGGCUCAACCCUCGGAAGCCGGUGGAUACUGUCGAGCUAGAGUACGGAAGAGGCGAGUGGAAUUCCUGGUGUAGCGGUGAAAGUGCGCAGAUAUCAGGAGGAACACCAAUUGCGAAGGCAGCUCGCUGGGACGUUACUGACGCUGAGACGCGAAAGCGUGGGGAGCAAACAGG